AAGCACCCACGGUGCGCUUCCGCGGCUGGUCCGUUUCGACAGCCGUGCUUCGAUCGUCCUCCUGCUCCGGUCGGGACGUUCGAACAAGCGCUGUGCCGCCACGGUAAAGGGACUAGUAAUUGCCGCUGCUGCCGUUUCCGCAGCAUGGCAUUGAAAGUACCGCUAAUCCGAUGGCAAGGAGAGGAGCUUGCUCGACGGGACGCCGCUUCCAUGUCCUUUCGAGCAUGCUGCAAGCUACGUACGCUCGGCAAAGGCUUCCGUAGAAGCUCCGCCGAACGUUCGCUCGUUCGAUGGCAUCGUAUCGAGCGCGCGGACGCGGCAAACGUUGCUCAUUGCUGUGCUGCCAGGC
rnacentral:misc_RNA from 1 species